CGAAGUUGAUAGCUUGCUAUUUGCUGACGACCGGCGCACGGGUGCGUAACGCGUAUGCAAUCUGCCUUAUACUGGGGGAUAGCCUUUAGAAAUGAAGAUUAAGACCCCAUAGUCUAUUGAAGUGGCAUCACUUUAAUAGUAAAGGUUACGGUAUAAGAUGAGCAUGCGUCCUAUUAGCUAGAUGGUGUGGUAACGGCACACCAUGGCAACGAUAGGUAGGGGCCCUGAGAGGGGGAUCCCCCACACUGGUACUGAGACACGGACCAGACUCCUACGGGAGGCAGCAGUGAGGAAUAUUGGACAAUGGAGGCAACUCUGAUCCAGCCAUGCCGCGUGCAGGAAGACUGCCCUAUGGGUUGUAAACUGCUUUUAUACGGGAAGAAACACCCCUACGUGUAGGGACUUGACGGUACCGUAAGAAUAAGCAUCGGCUAACUCCGUGCCAGCAGCCGCGGUAAUACGGAGGAUGCAAGCGUUAUCCGGAAUCAUUGGGUUUAAAGGGUCCGUAGGCGGGCAAUUAAGUCAGAGGUGAAAGUUUGCGGCUCAACCGUAAAAUUGCCUUUGAUACUGGUUGUCUUGAAUCAUUGUGAAGUGGUUAGAAUAUGUAGUGUAGCGGCGAAAUGCAUAGAGAUUACAUAGAAUACCAAUUG
rnacentral:rRNA from 1 species